rnacentral:misc_RNA from 1 species
AACUUUUAGCAACGGUUCUCUUGGCUCUCGCAUCGAUGAAGAACGCAGCGAAAUGCGAUAAGUAAUGUGAAUUGCAGAAUUCAGUGAAUCAUCGAAUCUUUGAACGCACCUUGCACCCUUUGGAAUUCCAAAGGGUAUGCUCGUUUGAGUGUCAUUGUACUCUCACACUCUCCGAUCCUCUGGAUUUGGGGAGCGGUGGACUUGGGUGCUUGCUGCUUUCCUUGCGGCUCACCUCAAAUGCGUCAGUGCAUCUCUUGAUUGGACAUAGUACGGCGUGAUAAGUGUCUUCGCCGGCACCUCAUAAGAGGGUGGCUGAUCGGGAGCUCUGUGCUUUCAAACCGUCUUCGGACACUCUCUGACAACUUGACCUCAAAUCGAGUAGGACUACCCGCUGAACUUAAGCAUAUCAAUAAGCGGAGGCU